GCUUCAGGAGAGCGAGGCCAUUCCAAAACCCUCGCCUCGCUCUUUCUCUCUCUCUCUCUCUCUCUCUCUCGUAUGAUAAAACCCCGUCGCCAUGUGUUGUUGGUCGUCGAUCGAGUUUGCUCUCUGCGAAAGCAAAAGCCUUAUCCACCCUCAAAUCUACAUACCCUGCUCCCUCUAUCCUCGAGCGGUGGCAGCUUAGCUCCAUUCUAUUCUUCCUCUCCCCAUCCAAAGUGCAGGAAAUGGCUUCUACUUUCAGCACCAUGUCCACGAUUGGCUCUUUGAGUGCUACUAAUUGUCUUAGUGCCAAUAAAGCCUCUGUUGAGAAGUUCUCUUCUCUUUCUUCCGUAUCUUCCAAUUCACUGAGCAGCGGAAGGCAGAACUUGAAAAUGCAAAAAAGGUGCAAUUCUAGGAUCAGAGCUAUGGCCAAAGAGUUACACUUCAAUAAGGAUGUCUCUACCAUUAAGAAGCUACAGACUGGUGUCAAUAAGCUUGCAGACCUCGUUGGGGUCACUCUCGGUCCGAAGGGUAGAAAUGUUGUUUUGGAGAGCAAAUAUGGAUCACCAAAUAUGCCAAAGAGGUACCUAAUUAUCAGA